GCGGGGCCGGCCGCACUUUACGGCAGCCUCGCCCGCAAAGCAGCCUCGCAGCGGCAUCUUCUGGAGAGGAGGCGCGCCCCGCCCAACCCCCUUCCCGCCACUACUGUGCUUCCUCCCAGUUCCCAGCAGGGAAGCUCAAGGACACCUGAAAGUACACGACAGACCGAAAGUUUUCCCAAUAGAGAGCGGUUGCUCGGGCUGGCGAGGAUGCUCAGUGGGUUGGAGGGCACACACACACACGUCAAGUUGUCUUUUGGCCUACACACAAACACAAUCAUACAAAAUAAGGAAAAUUGGGAAACUUAACAUGUUCAACCCAAAGUUCAAUGUGUUUUGUUUUGUUAAGGUGAUACUCAAAGAAUACAACUAUAGGCUCAGAUGACUACAUCUGGGAUGAAUCCCUCAGUCCAUGCAGGGAUAGCCUGUAUCAAACAAAAUACACAAAGCACAACUUUUAAGAAUGCCUUUUACCUCACAGGAUGUGUGUCUUUGGCAGCAUAGAAUCAAUCCCACUCACCUGCUCCAGUCACCUCACACAGCAACGGACCUAAUUACAUGGACUCAUCCUCUCAUUUUAAAUAUUUCAGUGCUUCAGCUUUCCCCCUCCUCAGAUCUAAAAAUCAAAGCCAACUAAAGUCAGUUCCUCUCUUACCUACUUUCAAAGUUCCCUCAUGCCCAGUGAAGGAAAACCAGCAGCCACACUGGAUGGAGAGCAACCUCUGAAUGCAUAUUCGUUAGUAACUAUUCUCUGAACCCAGCUCUCCUGUGUCUGAGGAUUCCUUUGUCUCUCCACCCUCCCACCAAGUCCCUGUAGGAUGCCAUUGCAGCCUCUUUGCUUCGUGUCCAGCUAUUACAUGGGUUCUAAGGAUUUGAACUCAGUGCCUCAGAGUUGAGGUAAAAAUAAAGCACUUUUAUCCCAA